CCUACUUUCUUCCGCCGUUCUUACUAUUGUUCCCUGGGCGCCGGCCUGAACCAGCCAAGUCGCGUGAGGGAAGACUGCCCUAUGGGUUGUAAACCUCUUUUAUAAGGGAAGAAUAAUGACUACGUGUAGUCAGAUGCCCGUACCUUAUGAAUAAGCAUCGGCUAACUCCGUGCCAGCAGCCGCGGUAAUACGGAGGAUGCGAGCGUUAUCCGGAUUUAUUGGGUUUAAAGGGUGCGUAGGCGGUAUUUUAAGUUAGUGGUAAAACGUCGGGGCUUCACCUUGAUUGGCCAUUAAAACUGGAGUACUAGAGUACAGACGAGGUAGGCGGAAUAAGUUAAGUAGCGGUGAAAUGCUUAGAUAUAACUUAGAACCCCGAUAGCGAAGGCAGCUUACCAGACUGUUACUGACGCUGAAGCACGAGAGCGUGGGUAGCGAACAGGAUUAGAUACCCCUGUAGUC
rnacentral:rRNA from 1 species